UACGGGGGGGGCAAGCGUUGUUCGGAAUUACUGGGCGUAAAGGGCUCGUAGGCGGCCAACGAAGGCGGAUGUGAAAUCCCCAGGCUUAACCUGGGAAUUGCAUCCGAUACUGGAUGGCUUGAAUCCGGGAGAGGGAUGCGGAAUUCCAGGUGUAGCGGUGAAAUGCGUAGAUAUCUGGAGGAACACCGGUGGCGAAGGCGGCAUCCUGGACCGACACUGACACUGAGGAGCGAAAGCCAGGGGAGCAAACGGG
rnacentral:rRNA from 1 species